rnacentral:SRP_RNA from 1 species
GCUGGGUGUGGUGGUGCACACCUGUAAUCUCAGCUACUCAGGAAGCUGAGACAGGAGAAUCACUUGAACUCAGGAGGCAGAGGUUGCAGUGAGCUGAGAUGGCACCACUGCACACACCAGCCUGGGUGACAGAGUGAGACCCUGUCUCAA